CAGUGGGCAUGCAAACUUUUUUCUUCUGUCUUUUCUUUGUUUUGUUGUGAUACUCCAUCCAGUUCAGUGACUCUUUACUUGGAGCUCUAACAGAUAGACUUAAAGGACGGGGAAGAUCAGGGUUUGGGUUUAGUGAACUGUUUCCACACAGGAAUUGACUUUUCUCACAUGUAGCACACAACUGGAGACAGUCUGCAUCAGAUGCUGUAAUUGACACCGAAUUGUCUUGGAGUGGCCACAGGAGGCGGUGUGUGUGGUGGAGAGGAGGUGAAGGACCAGCAAAAGGGAAUUAGGUUUUAUGGCCCUCACCUGCUUUCUGUUGGCAUGCGUUGCCUCAUUUUCGUUUGUUUGGUGUGGCGUGGUGUCCGGUUUCCCCGUGGCUUCUUUUUCCUUGUUGGAUGUUUGCUUGGUGAGUUGUCGGUUUGAAUUUUUAUCUUCGUUUCUUUUGAAUUGUAUGGAUUGUAUUUAAGGAUUUUAUUGUUUAUUAUUAGUCUUAAGGUGACGGGCAGCCUUAUAGAUGAUCCGUAAUAUAGCACCCCUCGGUGACGGAACGAGGUACGUUUGCCUUUUGUGAUUUAGUUGUUGUGAUAAUUGUAAGUUUCCUGUUGAUGAUGUAUUGUAAAUAAAUUGUUUUUUUUGUAUCUGUUUUUAAGUUUUCACGGUGCACAAUGAAGUGGAAAUAAAGAGUUGAAGCACCUGUCGAGACUCCCGUUUAUUGACCCAGGGGCAGCUACAGUGAAAACUCGACCAUCGGAAGAGUAAGGCUUCAGCUAAGAAAAUCAACGUUAUUGCACAAGUAUUUGAUAACGGCGGUCCGGCCCAGUGUACGCCCCUUUCGCGCACCGGCGAGCUCAGCCAAUGGACGGUAUUUGUUACGCUUCUAGUUCAAGCGAACUGGGUAGCGAUACAUAAGAGACUGGUGAUAAAGCCUAUGAUUAAGUGCUUAAUGUUUAGGGUUUGAAUGUGUUUUAUAAUGUAUUCCUUUUCUCCUUUUUGGGGUUGAAGGGUAAAGUUAUAUUGAUUAAAAUAUUUGUAGUUUAUUGUUGUGGUUUAAUGUCGAAUUUUAGUAUUGUUUGGUGAAUUUGGAAAUUGUAAACUAAAGGGUAAAUGAGGUAAAAUGUCCGUUAAAAAUCAAGUUCUAGAUAAUACUGCCGACCAACCAAGCAGGUCCAGCUCCCGUCAAAGAGUUUUGACCGAGAAGGGUCAGGAGCUGCGUAGAGAGAGAGCCGAACAACAUGAAAGGUCUUUUAUGAAGGAAUAUGAUGUGUGGAAACAAACAGCUCGAGAUUCCAGGAGGAAAUUGAAGCGAUUUUGUACAGUGAAUGACCUUAAUGUAAUCCAGCAGAAUUUAAAAACUAAUUAUGAUUUAGUAUGUCAGUCCUAUGAGCCCAUCAGGCGUAACUGCACUGCCACACCAGACAUUAUUAAGAAAAUGGAUGCUUGUGUUUCUCUCACCACCGAAAUCGGCGAACUUGUAGUUAAAAGAAAGGAAACUAUUGAAGAAGUUUUUAAUGAUGAAUUGGAGAAAGAACGAGUGAGGAUGACCCUAAAUAAAGGGGAGUAUGGGUCCAUUUUUGGAGGUACAGAUACAGAGACUGUGAUUUCUGAAAUGUCGGUAGCUUGUCCUCCUUCCUCCCAUUCAGUGGUUUCAAGUAAAUUAGCAGAGGCUGAGGCAGAGUUCGCUGUUAAGGUGGAACAGGCAAAGGCGGUGAGAAAAAUUCAAGCUCAACAAAUGAAAAUGUGCAAAUUGGAGAAUGAAUGGAAAUUAGAAGAAGCGAAGAUGCUGGCUGAAAUUAAACAGAAGGAAGUUGAAAUGCGUUUCAAACAAGAGGAGGAGAAGCUGCGGUUAAAACAAAUAGAAGCAGAAAAUGAUGUGGAGGUGGCAGUGGCGCGUUUGAGGGCUUAUAGGGAUUUAGAAGACGGUUUGAGGAAUCAGGGAGAAAAGGGUGAUCAAGGAGAUAUCCGGUCUAGUCACCAAGGGAAGGAUAUCGGGGAUCCAUCAAAUUCAGGGGUUGUACCGCUUCAAUCUCAACAGACAUUAAUCGGAGUUAAAAAUCAGGAGACAGCUGACUUAGCUCAAGCCAUUGCGGGUUCCUUGAGCAUGUGUCACCUGUCUCCCCCCGACUUGGCAACCUUUUCCGGGGACCCCUUGAAAUUUAUUGACUGGAAGAUCUCCUUUAUGACUCUUAUUGGUAAGAAACCCCUCCCAGUCUGUGAAAAAAUGUUAUAUUUGAAACAUUACCUUGUAGGGGAGGCACGCAAGGCUGUGGAGGGAUUUUUUUAUAGAAAUUCUGAGGAUGCCUAUCACAGUGCUUGGACAUUGUUAGAGGAGAGAUAUGGAAAUCCAUUUAUCGUCCAGAGAGCUCUCCGAGAAAGGCUUAUGAAAUGGCCUAGGAUCAGUGAAAAUGAUCCCUUGGCCCUUAGAGAUUUUGUGGAUUUUUUAAAGGGGUGUGCUGAGGCUAUGCCUUAUGUCAAGGGAUUGGACAUUUUGAACGAUUGUGAGGAAAAUCAUAAAUUGCUUAAGAAGUUACCGGAGUGGAUUGUACGUAAAUGGGGUAGGUUUGUUGUUGAUGAGUUAGAUGCAUCCGGUAAUUAUCCAGGCUUUUUGCAUUUUGUGGAUUUCCUGCAAAAGGAGGUCCGUAUUGUAUGCAAUCCUAUUGUUUCCCCUUUCUUAUUGAACUCUAAGGCAGCGGAAGAUAAGUCAAAGCGAGUCAGUACCUUUAAUACGAGCUCUCAAAGUGAUGCCCCCCCUUUUGAAACAAAUGUAACAAAUGGUUCUAAAUCAAGAAUAUCUUGUUUGGUUUGUGAAAAUGAAACGCACAGUGUAGCAAGAUGUCCCAUCUUCGCAGAGAAAACAAUUGAUGAUAAGAGAACCUUUAUUCGAGAGAACCGACUCUGUUUUGGUUGUUUGUGGGGGGGGCACGUUAUGAGGAAUUGCAGGAGGCGGCACACGUGUGCUACUUGUGGACGGCGUCAUCCAACCUGUUUGCAUAGUGAGAGUGACAAUUCGUCUGCCACAGCACUGGAGCCACACCUCUCUCCGGGGGUGGAUGACGCCGGUCAGGAGGUACGUAGUGUAUCGUCUCAUGCUGUGACUAAGGGCCUUCCUUCCACAUCUAAUAUCGUGCCAGUGUUCCUGUCAUCGGUGGAAGAACCACGUAGGGAGGUGCUCACUUAUACCUUACUUGACCCACAGAGUGAUACAACCUUUAUCUUGGAGGAUUUAGUUAGCAAGUUACAUGUAAAUAUGCAACCAGUACAAUUAAAACUGAGCACAAUGACAGCUGUUGACACCGUGAUUAAAAGUGGGAUUUCACAUGGUUUGCAAAUUAGAGGAGUUCAUUCCGAAGCCUAUACUAAAUUGCCUAAGGUUUAUUCGAGGGAUUUUAUUCCGGUGGAUAGAUCUCAUAUUCCAACUGAUAGUACCGCUCUGCAGUGGCCUCAUUUGAAGCAUUUGGCCGGUAAGCUGUUGCCAUUGCAAGAAUGUGAAGUUGGAUUGCUUGUGGGUUAUGAUUGUACGUCAGCAUUGGUACCGUUGGAGGUUGUUAGAGGGGGUGAGAACGAACCCUUCGCGCAAAGAACGGUACUCGGAUGGAGUAUAACCGGGUCCUCCAACCCACAUUUCGAUCGGCAAGGAAAUCAGAGCUUUGUGCAUCGAGUUACGGCAAGAGAGGUGUUCGCACCACCCGGUAGUGAUAUUCUUAAGGUUCUUGAGUCGGACUUUAAUGAGAAGUCCUAUAAAGAUCAGUGCGUUUCUCAGGAGGAUAUGCUUUUUAUACAACUUCUCCGUGAUAAUAUAUGGCAAAGAGAGGAUGGACAUUAUGAGCUCCCCCUGCCUUUUAAGAGUAAUAUACCCCCCAUAUUGCCAAAUAAUAAGGGCGUAGCUAUUGCUCGUUUACAGCAUUUGAAGAGGAAACUAAGGGCUAAUCAGCAGUAUUAUGAUCAUUAUCAGACCUUUAUGGAGGAGAUCCUCAAAAGGGGUAAUGCAGAGUUAGCCCCCCCACUAUGCGAGGGAGAAGUAGUGUGGUAUAUACCGCAUCAUGGUGUAUACCACUCGCAUAAUCUGGAGAAGUUGAGGGUGGUUUUUGAUUGCUCAGCAAGGUUUCGGGGAGUUUCAUUAAAUGAUGUUCUAUUGACUGGUCCUGACUUGAUUAACUCUUUGAUAGGAGUCCUUUGUCGCUUUCGGAAGGAAAAUGUAGCUGUGGUAUGCGACAUCGAAAGGAUGUUUCAUCAAUUCUUUGUCCCCCCGGCAGCGCGGAACUAUUUGAGGUUCCUGUGGUGGGGUGGUGCAGAUCUGGAAGCGGAACCGCAAGAAUAUCGGAUGACAGUUCACCCCUUUGGCGCUACUUCAUCCCCUGGGUGCGCUAAUUUUGGCCUCAAGUAUCUGGCCCAGAAACAUACGGUGGAUUAUCCUUUGGCAUCGGCUUUCAUUGAGAAGAAUUUUUAUGUAGAUGACGGCCUAACUAGUGUUCCUUCUGUUAAGGAUGCAGAGGAUUUGAUUAUAGAAGCACGGGAGUUAUGUAAGAAAGGGGGCCUACGUCUGCAUAAAUUUAACUCAAACAGAUUGGAGGUACUGGAUUGUGUUGACGCUUCUGAGAGAGCGACGAAGGCUGGAAGCUUGCAUCUUGGUUUAGAUGAGCCGUUAAUAGGACGUGCUUUGGGCAUCCAGUGGUCAAUAGAACAAGAUAGUUUUAGUUUUGAUGUAAACCUUAAGAAUCAGCCUUCUAGUCGUCGUGGCAUUCUCUCAGUUAUCGCCUCUAUAUACGAUCCGCUCGGGUUUAUUUCCCCCGUUACCUUAUGCGGAAAGCGUAUUCUGCAGGAUUUGUGUCGACAGGGUGCUGGAUGGGAUGAGCCUCUUCCUGAGGAUUUAGGCUCUCGAUGGGAGGAGUGGAAAGGGGACUUGCCCAAAUUGCAAGAAAUUAUAAUACCCAGAUGUUAUCAUCCGCCAGAAUUUAAAUCUAUUGUUCGGAUAGAGUUGCAUCAUUUUUCAGACGCCAGUAGCGUCGGUUAUGGCGCAUGUUCAUAUGUGAGGUACAUUAAUAACGACAGAGAGGUUUACUGUAGCCUAGUGAUGGCUAAAGCAAGAGUAGCACCCACGAAGCUCCUGAGUAUACCUAGAAUGGAGCUUUCUGCUGCUGUGGUUUCCGCCAGAAUGAGUGCCAUGUUGAGGGUUGAACUGGAAAUGAAAAUCGAUGAGGAAUUUUUUUGGACAGAUUCCCAAGUGGUAUUGGCCUAUAUUAAUAAUGACGUGAGAAGGUUUCAUGUAUUUGUGGCAAAUAGACUCCAAGUAAUAAAGGGAGAAACAAACUGUAGCCAGUGGCAUUUUGUUGAUACAUCUGAAAAUCCAGCUGAUCAUGCCUCCAGGGGUUUAAAUGCUUCUGGCCUUUUAUCAACUAACUGGAUGAUGGGACCAAGUUUUUUGUGGCAGCAUGAGCUGAAGUUAACAUCCCCUCCUUCCGCUGUGCUGUUGGUGCGUGAUCCAGAAGUGAGGGCAGCACAAGUGAAUGUGGCGAUUACAAGCGAUUGCGAUGAUAUGCUUGAUAGGUUGAGCCGAUUUUCCUCUUGGAUACGGCUCCUUAAGGUGGUGGCGAGAAUCAGGAGGAUGACAUCCAGACAAAGGCAUGAUAGUGAUCACAUUACGGUAGAGGAAAUUGAGAGCGCGACGGAAGUGGUAGUUAGACUUGUCCAGCAACAAGCCUUCUCCGAAGAGAGAAGAACGUUGGAGAAGGGGGAUAGUCUUCCCCACUCCAGUCCCCUUUUUCGUUUCAAUCCUAUUUUGGAUAAGGGAAUUCUUAGGGUUGGUGGGAGGUUGAGGCAGUCAUCUCUCAGUCAAGGGUUGAAACACCCAAUUAUUCUUCCUAAGAGUUCACACAUUACCGAGCUUGUGCUUCUUCAUUUUCAUGAGAGGAUUUGUCACCAAGGUCGAAGCCAGACUCAAAUGGAACUUCGAGCAAAUGGGUUUUGGGUCAUUGGUGGGAGUAAAUCCACUGCUAGGUUGAUACAUCAUUGUGUGACUUGUAGGAAGCUUCGACGUCCGGCAGAGGAGCAGCAGAUGGCUGAGCUCCCGGAGGCACGGGUGGAGGCCUCAGCACCAUUCACAUAUUGUGGGAUGGACGUGUUUGGUCCCUUUAUUAUUAAAAGGGCACGCACGGAACACAAGAGGUACGGAUUGAUUUUUACUUGUCUUUCCUCAAGGGCUAUUCACAUUGAGACGUUGGAAGAUUUGUCAACGGAUGCGUUUAUAAACGCUUUAAGAUGUUUUAUCAGCCUCAGGGGGGCUGUACGUCAGCUUUAUUGUGAUCAUGGCACAAAUUUUGUGGGGGCUAGGAACGAGUUUAAGAAGGCUUUGAAACAGUGUGAUCCCAAGAAAUUGGAGGCUUAUCUGGCAAAUAAACAGUGUGAAUUCAUUUUUAGUGCGCCAGCGGCGAGUCAUGCGGGUGGCGUUUGGGAGCGGCAAAUUCGAACCGUGCGGAAUGUUUUGAAUGCCACGCUUUGUGUCUGUCCAGGUAGGCUCGAUGAUUUCUCACUUCGAACACUCUUUUAUGAGGCUAUGGCUAUAGUGAAUAGCCGCCCCUUGAAUGUGGACGGUAUCAAUGAUCCCAGAUCAUUGGAACCUUUGACACCUAAUCAUCUUAUUUUGAUGAAGUCUCAGAUUGCCCUUCCUCCUGCUGGGAAAUUUGUAAGAGAGGAUGUAUAUGCAACGAAACGAUGGCGACGAGUGCAAUACUUGACUGAGCAAUUUUGGGGACGCUGGAAGAGGGAAUAUUUAUUGAAUAUUUCCCUGCGUCAGAAAUGGCAUAAGCCUCGGCGCAACCUUAAAACAAACGACAUUGUCAUCGUCAUUGAGGAUACACUUCCGAGGAAUCAGUGGCAGUUGGGGCGAGUGGUGGAGACCAUUCAAGGAACUGAUAAGUUGGUUCGUAGGGUUAGGGUUCAAGUCACAGAUCGGAGGCUGCAUGGGAAAUCGGACCCCCUUUUAGGACCGUCAUCCUUGAGAGACCCAUCCAGAAGUUAGUGUUGUUGCUCGGAAAUGAAUGAUUGGAAAAUUUGAUUCCUUAUUUUAGUUGUGAGACAGUUCGGUGUCAGAGUUUUAACUGUUUGUGAAUCAUGUAUAAUUCGAUUGAUUAUGAAUUUAUCGUGGUAUGAUUGGGGGGAGUGUAAUUGACACCGAAUUGUCUUGGAGUGGCCACAGGAGGCGGUGUGUGUGGUGGAGAGGAGGUGAAGGACCAGCAAAAGGGAAUUAGGUUUUAUGGCCCUCACCUGCUUUCUGUUGGCAUGCGUUGCCUCAUUUUCGUUUGUUUGGUGUGGCGUGGUGUCCGGUUUCCCCGUGGCUUCUUUUUCCUUGUUGGAUGUUUGCUUGGUGAGUUGUCGGUUUGAAUUUUUAUCUUCGUUUCUUUUGAAUUGUAUGGAUUGUAUUUAAGGAUUUUAUUGUUUAUUAUUAGUCUUAAGGUGACGGGCAGCCUUAUAGAUGAUCCGUAAUAUAGCACCCCUCGGUGACGGAACGAGUUUUCACGGUGCACAAUGAAGUGGAAAUAAAGAGUUGAAGCACCUGUCGAGACUCCCGUUUAUUGACCCAGGGGCAGCUACAGAUGCCUUAAUCUGCCUGGGUAAAGAGUGCUGUAGGUAGAGCUCACUCACGCACUGUGUAUUUUCUGCAGUAUUCUCACAUCGGCUGGCAGGGUAAUGUCUGAUCCAACUGAGCUGCUGUAGAAAAUAGAUGAUUGGAUGGAUGGAUUUGUAUUCUUAGAUACAGUCCUUCCAGAUAAUAUCUAGUAAUAAUUUAUGCUCAGGGCUGCAGUGCAGUGUGGAAAUGCUUAUAAAUUGCUGGUUAUGGAUUAGGCUUGUCUUCUGUUAUACACUUGCAGUAAAUGAGAUACAAUUUGGUUUCUUUCCAUGAUUAAUGAUCAUCCUCCCUGAAGGGUUUUUGUUUAUGUGUCUUUUUAAGUCGCUUCUAAUUCAUACGUUCUUCCUCCAUCCA